rnacentral:lncRNA from 1 species
GGAAGUGGUAAAGCCAGGAUGCAAGCCGCACCAGGCAGUCUGGUGUCAGAGCCCGUGCCCAGGCCUGGCACACAGCAGGUGCUGAGAGGCAAUGGCUGGUUCCUGGCUCUUUAUUAAUUUCUCUGGGUCACGGGGGUGCGGGCCCCAAAGGCGAGAUGGGAGCCUCUUGUGGAGAACAUCCGGAGAGGGCCUCGGGACCCACCUGCCGGGGAAGGGGGUUGCCGUUUCCCUAUCAUUCCGAGUCUGGAGAAGUCCAUAGCAUCCCCGCGAAAACCCCCUCUGCCCCGCUCCCCCUGUUCCCCACGGCCCGAAGCUGCCUCUGCAUUGGAGCCGUCAGAGCCCUGGGCCUCCAGAGAUGAGUCCCCAGGGUCCACACCACUCCUGCACACCCCUAAUUAAGUUAGAAGAAGCUCCAGGCCCCUGGGUGCUCUUUGCUGCAGAAAGCACUUGAAAAAUGCAGAGAGGCAAAGAAGUUCAAGGUCUGGGUAUCUGCUGCCCUUGGUUCUGCUUAGGAAUUCUUCAGCUGAUUACACGGCUCUCAGUUCAACAACACCAGCUUUGUGUCCCGGGCUAUGGGAAGGCUCCUCUCUGCCACCAUCGCGGCCACGGAGGGUCAUCCUGUCGGGAAAACACAUCUGGAGAGAACUAUUUCCAUCAGAUUUAAAAAUACUUCAGGGGCGACGUUUUCUUGAGCAUUUCUUUAAUAUCUUCUUUUCCCUCUUUCCUUUUUCAUACAGGCUAACAGUUAAUGCAGGGCCCCUGCAUUCCUGGAAACCCCUGGAAUGUAAGUGGGUUGAAAGCCAUUGAGGAAGCACGUGGCAUGCCUGGUCUCUCAGCCCUCGAGCCUGGUGGCAUCCAAUUUGUGCUCAGUGCGGAAGACACAGCCUCUCGGGGGGCCCAGGAGCCUGCGGUGCCUCAUCUUGCUGUUGAGAAGCCCCGGCCAUGAGCUGGGCUGUGCCCGCCUGGGAUCUUUUCGGCUCUUUCUUUGGGCAGGUUUUUCUGGAGCACCAAAUAUUUUUGAAAAAUAUAUUCAGGCAAUCGUCCCGCGCAGUGCCCGUCGGCACAAUUUUUUCUCACUUCUCUGACCGUCCUCUGUCUCUUUUACGUUCUGAAAGAUUGUCUGCAGUGGUGUCGGAGAUGAUACAGAAAGCCCUCAUCAAGGCCAGUCUAACCUAACCUUUAUGUGAGAUUCCGGUGACGCCCCCGUGAAGUUGACCUAAUCACCACCUUUCACAGGUAGGAAAUCAGAGCUGGGGAGAAAGGGCUCAACUUCCAAUCUCCCAGCCUGACCCCCGUACCACGCUACCAGAUGGAACCCCCCACAUCUCGACUCUA